ensembl:lncRNA
AUGUCGCAAAGCCAAAGCUCUUCGUCCGAAGACCCACCUAACUCUCCUCCGGUCCCAACACCGCUACCUGCCGGCUCCAAGGCCACUCCUCCUCGGCAUGACACCCCAAUCGAGCCCCAAGCUCCAACUCGCGGGCGCGGUGCAGCCCGAGCAGUCACUCUCCUCCCAAGACGCCUAGGCCUACCCUUGCCUCCUCCGGAGAGAACCCCGGUCGACUCCCCGGCGUCCUCCUACUGCUCGGCCAGGCCUACGAUUCCGCCAAAAGAAAAUUUGCAAAUUACUAACAACUCUCCCGAAUCCACCUCAAUCCCAAAGAAGAGCAAAAAGAAAGGGAAAAUUACAGACACGCCUCGCCGCACUCCACCGUCCUCCUCCUGCGCAAGGCUGGGUUCCCAGAGUCGAUCAAACCGCGGCAACAGGCCAUCAGCAAGCCUGGGCCGCACCCUGGAUCCAGCUGCCGAAAGGGUACAUGCGACGUCAGCCGCAGCCCAGCCUCUCACCGCGGCUUCUGUUCCUGCACAGAGGGCCAUAGCUCAAGGAAGCACUUGGCCGCCUCCACCACCGUUCACAGCCCCACAGCACGCUACUUUAAAUCCAGACCCUGCUGCCCAAGCAAGCGCUUGGUCGAACUGGCCGUUGAAUACAGCUCCGCCACCUGCCCCUUCCAGCUCGGGGUCCGCGGCUCAAGCAAGCGCUUGGCCGAGCUGGCCACAAAAUACAGCCCCGCCGCCCGCUCCUUCCGGCUUUGGGCCCAUGGCGCAAGCAAGCAAUUGGCCGAACUGGCCGCAAAACACAGCCCCGCCGCCCGCUCCUUCCAGCUUUGGGUCCGCGGCUCAAGCAAGCGCUUGGCCGAACUCGCGGCCAAACUCGGCGCCGCCCCCAGCCCCCUUCCCCACCCCCCUGCCAGCAAAAUCCCAAUACCCACUCCUCACUGCUACACCAAUGCCAGCCCAAUCAAACGCCAUCGCCUCUGAACCUCCACAAGUGGCACACAACAUUAGAGCGCAGAUAUUAGCAGGUGCAGAUGUCGAUCUCUCUUCUCUCCUUUCCCUCCUGCCAACCUCGGACUCAAACCGGCAAAUAGAUUAUGGAGAUUUCUCUGUCACUCUAAAAAAUCAGAAUCCUCUCUCAGCAAGACUACUCUCUUUUUCGGAGUUCACCAUCGCAUUUAGUUGUUUCACAGAGAUCAUCUGUUCAGCCUUCCCCCACAGGCGACGCGAACUCAAUGAUUAUCUGUCCAUCAUAGCCGAACUCGCGUUGUCCUACGGAGGGGGUCACUUUUACACGUACCACAAGCUUUUUUCCGCUAAAUGCGCAGUAAGAGUCAGCCAAUGGAACCAGUGCCCAUAUUGGGGCGCAAUUGACCCAGAUCUCCACAGCCGAGUAUUUUUAGGCUGCAGGAAUAUUUCCUGCGCAAUCUGUAGGUCAGUCGCCCAUUCCACCAUGUCUUGCCCACAAGUUAACCCCUCUAUACCCCCAUUUAUUGACACCUCAACGAAAUCUACCAGCUACGUCCCAAGAACCGCAACCACGACUUUCUCGAGUCCCGAGCAAAAUGCCCCUUUAGCAGCAGACGGCAGGCAAACAUGCUACGCAUUCAACAGUAAGAAAUGUGUGAGACAGCGCUGCCAUUUCCUCCACAUUUGCAGCUAUUGCGGCGGAGCUCACGCUCGCAUUGUCUGCCCAGUUCUCAAAAGUGUGAAUAAAAAAUCUAAAAAAUACCUAUCGACUCCUGUGAAUAUCUGUCGCCUGACCAUCGAACUCGCUCACCACCCAGACAAAGAAUUCACUAAUUAUCUUCUCUCGGGCCUCAGAAAUGGUUUUAGUCCCGGCGUUGAAUGCGUGCUCUCCCAAAAUUUCAUAUGCAAUAAUCUCCAGUCCGCACACGCAGAGCCCGACGUCAUACAUAAAUUAAUCAAAAAAGAAAUAGUGUCAGGCUUCAUGAUCGGCCCUUUCGAUAAACCUCCCUUCGAAGUGUAUCGAGUCAGCCCCAUCGGAGUGGCUACCUCAACAUAA